rnacentral:rRNA from 1 species
UACGUAGGGUGCAAGCGUUGUCCGGAAUUAUUGGGCGUAAAGAGCUUGUAGGUGGUUUGUCGCGUCUGCUGUGAAAAUCCGAGGCUCAACCUCGGACUUGCAGUGGGUACGGGCAGACUAGAGUGUGGUAGGGGAGACUGGAAUUCCGUGGUGUAGCGGUGGAAUGCGCAGAUAUCAGGAGGAACACCGAUGGCGAAGGCAGGUCUCUGGGC